rnacentral:tRNA from 1 species
AAUAAAGUGCCUGAAAAAGGGUUAUUCUGAUAGAAUAAAUAAUGCAAAACUUGCCUUUAUUG